rnacentral:rRNA from 1 species
GACGAACGCUGGCGGCGUGCUUAACACAUGCAAGUCGAACGAAGUGGCGAACGGGUGAAUAACGCGUAAAAAACCUGGACUUCAGAGGGGGACAACAGUUGGAAACGACUGCUAAUACCGCAUCCCGAAGGAGGGGAUUGCGGCUUAAUAGCCAGUUGGAGAGGUAACGGCCCACCAAGGCGAUGAAGAGUAGGCGGUCUGAUAGGAUGAACGGCAAUCAUGGGACUUGGACACGGCCCAGAUCGCGAAUGGUGGCAGCAGUGGGGAAUCCUCCGCAAUGGACGAAAGUCUGACUGUGCAACGCGGUGUGAGUGAUGACGGCCUUCUGGGUGUAAAGCUCUGUGAAUCGGGACGCGGUACCGGAAUAGAAAGCCACGGCUAACUACGAGCCAGCAGCCGCGGUAAUUC